UACGAAGGGGGCUAGCGUUGCUCGGAAUCACUGGGCGUAAAGCGCACGUAGGCGGCUUUUUAAGUCAGGGGUGAAAUCCUGGAAGCUCAACUCCAGAACUGCCUUUGAUACUGAGAGCUUGAGUCCGGGAGAGGUGAGCGGAACUGCGAGUGUAGAGGUGAAAUUCGUAGAUAUUCGCAAGAACACCAGUGGCGAAGGCGGCUCACUGGCCCGGUACUGACGCUGAGGUGCGAAAGCGUGGGGAGCAAACGGGG
rnacentral:rRNA from 1 species